rnacentral:piRNA from 1 species
UAAUAUAAGCUUGCCAAAGUCUCUGGGUGU